rnacentral:lncRNA from 1 species
AGGAGGAAGGAUUAUCAGGAAAAAAGUUGCAGCAAAAGGCUAUUACUGAAUACUUUUCCUUACCGGAGGGUGCGUGAAUCGGCGCGAUGCGGCUGCCACAUAUGCAAAACGCUCAUGGCGCAGCAAGGUUUUUCCAAGCAGCGGCAGUGGGCUCUUCCCCGCCCCCCGCCCGGGGAGCGGGACGCCACUGCGAGAGCCCAAAUCCAAACCUGACCUGGAGGCACAGUCUCUCAGGCUCUUGCUCCCUGUGCCCAGUAACAGUUUGAAAG